rnacentral:rRNA from 1 species
GAUGAACGCUGGCGGCGUGCUUAACACAUGCAAGUCGAACGGAAAGGCUCCUGCUUGUAGGGGUACUCGAGUGGCGAACGGGUGAGUAACACGUGGGUGAUCUGCCCUGCACUUCGGGAUAAGCCUGGGAAACUGGGUCUAAUACCGGAUAGGACCACAUUUUGGAUGGUGUGGUGGAAAGUUUUUCGGUGUGGGAUGAGCUCGCGGCCUAUCAGCUUGUUGGUGGGGUAAUGGCCUACCAAGGCGUCGACGGGUAGCCGGCCUGAGAGGGUGUACGGCCACAUUGGGACUGAGAUACGGCCCAGACUCCUACGGGAGGCAGCAGUGGGGAAUAUUGCACAAUGGGCGCAAGCCUGAUGCAGCGACGCCGCGUGGGGGAUGACGGCCUUCGGGUUGUAAACUCCUUUCGCUAGGGACGAAGCGCAAGUGACGGUACCUGGAGAAGAAGCACCGGCUAACUACGUG